CAGCCGCCACGGUAAUACGAAGGGUGCAAGCGUUAAUCGGAAUUACUGGGCGUAAAGCGUGCGUAGGCGGGCAGGUAAGUCAGUGGUGAAAUCUUCGAGCUUAACUCGGAAACUGCCGUUGAUACUAUCUGUCUUGAAUAACGUUGAGGUGAGCGGAAUAUGUCAUGUAGCGGUGAAAUGCUUAGAUAUGACGUAGAACACCGAUUGCGAAGGCAGCUCACUAAACGCUCAUUGACGCUGAGGCACGAAAGCGUGGGGAUCAAACAGGAUUAGAUACCCGAGUAGUCCCUGUCUCUUAUAC
rnacentral:rRNA from 1 species